rnacentral:rRNA from 1 species
UACGGAGGGUGCAAGCGUUGUUCGGAAUUACUGGGCGUAAAGGGCGCGUAGGCGGUUUGAUAAGUCAGAUGUGAAAGCCCACGGCUUAACCGUGGAAGUGCAUUUGAUACUGUCAGACUUGAGUACCAGAGGGGAAAGUGGAAUUCCCGGUGUAGAGGUGAAAUUCGUAGAUAUCGGGAGGAAUACCGGUGGCGAAGGCGACUUUCUGGCUGAGUACUGACGCUGAGGCGCGAAAGCGUGGGGAGCAAACAGG